CUAUUCUCUCUGCGCCUCCUAGCACCACCCGAUCUUCUCUAUCUCUGAACUGACAGUAACCCCAGAUUCAAACUACAAAACCCAACUUCUUGUUCAUAUUCGUUUCAACGACAGCACCAGAUCAACACCCUCUCAUACACAGAUGACAGCUCUUUCUUGAACCCUAACCUAGCCCUGCAAUGACCACAAACCCAUGACAUCAACUGCAUCGGCAACAACAACGAAGAUCUCUUCUUCCCUGUUUUUUCUCAAUUAAUCAUGGCAACAGACUCUGUUUCAUUCCAUACAACAGCAGAGAUUUUAAGAAGAAGAUAGGAGCAGUUGAAGUAAGAUAAGUAAAUCAUAUAUAUAUAUAUAUGUAUGUAUAUAUAUACUCAAAACAAGUAAGUAAAAUCGAACCCACACCUUCUUUUUGCCAAAAUUACAUGUUUAAUUGUGUUAAUUUUGAAAAAGAAAUGCAAUUUUAUUUCUAGGGUCCCUAAGAAUUAGGGGUUUUUCUGUUUUGUAUAUUAAUUAGGGUUUAUAGUCGAAAUUGAAGAUUUUGAAUGACUAAUUUGACCUAAUAAUGGUUCAAUUAGGAUAUACUGAACAUGAUAUGAAUUAUGAUGUUUGUGACAUUGAUGUGCACGAGGGUAAUGAAGUUGAAUUGUGAAGAAGCUGAGAGUCACGCAGGUGUUGGUGGUGGUUUGCAGUUAUGGUUGUGCUGUUGGUGUUUUGAACUCAGAUGAUGAAUUCAAGAUUUGAUGGUUGAAUUGAAGAAGAUGGAAGAGAAAUAAAUGAGCAGUUCAGAUAAAGCAGAGAUGGGGGUUUGAUUUGAAUGGGUUUAUGUCUUUGUUACCAGCGAGAAGUGAAGGAGGAAAUGAAGGUUAAGAUUGGGUUUGUGCUGGAUUGGGAGAUGCGUGCAGUGUUACAUUCCAGAGGUUUGUUUUUAGGACAUCGAAGAGAAUUGAUACUGUUCAGAAUCUAGCUGCAAAGAAGAAACAAGAACUCGCAGAACAAGUGAAGGAUAUUUCUAAGCAUUUCAAAGAGUUUGAUAAGUAUCAUGUUUAUCAGGAAAGUAAUCUGACCUUCAUGAAAAAUACGUGCUCUAUCUGACAACUUGCUGAAUAGUUUUCCUGGGCGCGUUUGCUUGUGAGAGAGAUAUCACAGAGGCCGGAAAGCAUACUUUAAAGAAUAAGAUUGAAAAUAUCAUCAAGUUGUCUCGGGCGCUUGCUUGUUCAUACAAGACAACCAGAAGACGUCCAAAGAUAUUGGUUUAUUGGUUAUGGGUAUAUAUGGAGAGAAGUUUGAAGAUGAAUCCUUCAAGCUAAUUCAUGAUGGAUCUGGGUUUCUAUCUAUGGCAUAAGAAUGGUUCUCAGUUCUUAAUCACUUUCAAGGCUACCCACCAUCUUGAUGGAUCGUUUGAUGCCUUUACAGAGCAGGGGAUGAGCUAUUCUUUUUACUUAUGUAUUUACUUGUUGUUAACAAGAAGCACGUUGUGCUUGGUAAGCUUGUGCUAGGCCGUGAGACUGUAAAGAAGAUUUAGGAAAAGGGAAAACCUGAGUGUACGGUGAAAAUUGUCAACUGCGGGGAACUGGAAACAUCUUGAAGGUUGCACCAGACUUCUGGCAAGGUUGGGUCUUGUACAAUACAGUUUUUUACCGAGUCGAUCAAGG